rnacentral:lncRNA from 1 species
GUUGGACGUCCAGCAGAACCAAAACAGAAUUCAGAUUCCUCUCUCUCAUUUUACGAGUUCUUCUCUGCCUCUCGUCUCUCUCUCUUGGUGGUCCAUUAUCUAUCAAUUUUUUGCACUCCAAAAAUUUAGCCUAUUGAUGAGAAAUUAAUCCAACCUUGUAUAGAUAAUCUUGAGUGAUUUAACAAGGUGUAUUGGUGUUAUUCUUGAGUGAAUGUCAUUGUCGAAGUAUAGAAGCUUGUGUUGAAAUAAUCUUGAGUGAUUAUUGUAUAGGCUUCGAUUCAUCAUUCUUGAGUGAAUGUUGUCGAUUUAUGAGGCUUAAUUUUGGGGGAAAUUUUGUGUGAUUUUCUGCUGGGUGCCAAAAGAUUGUACUGGACAGAUUCGUUGAUUCCAUUGAUAUAGUGAUUUCUUCUGUUUGACGGAAGCUCAAAAGGGGAUUAGGAACGAAG